rnacentral:rRNA from 1 species
UACGAAGGGGGCUAGCGUUGUUCGGAUUUACUGGGCGUAAAGCGCACGUAGGCGGAUCGUUAAGUCGGGGGUGAAAUCCUGGAGCUCAACUCCAGAACUGCCUUCGAUACUGGCGAUCUUGAGUCCGGAAGAGGUGAGUGGAACUCCUAGUGUAGAGGUGGAAUUCGUAGAUAUUAGGAAGAACACCAGUGGCGAAGGCGGCUCACUGGUCCGGUACUGACGCUGAGGUGCGAAAGCGUGGGGAGCAAACAGGAUUGAGAAACCCU